rnacentral:sRNA from 1 species
GCCAGGUGCAGUGGUGCAUGCCUGUAGUCCCAGCGACUCGGGAGGCUGAGACAGGAGGAUCACAAGUUCAAAGCCAGCCUCAGCAACUUAGCAAGGCGCUGAGCAACCAAGUGAGAUCCUGUCUCAA